rnacentral:tRNA from 2 species
GACCCCGUAGCUCAGUGGAUAGAGCGCUUGCCUACGAAGCAAGAAGUCGCGCGUUCGAGUCGCGCCGGGGUCGCCG